rnacentral:lncRNA from 1 species
GUUGUGUUGGAGUGGAAGAUGACAGAGGUUGGUUCCACGGACCCCAUUUUGUCAGUAAUGUCUCUGGUACUCCGAGUCAGGUAUGACCUUGAUGCCCUUGACACCCAAAGAUGUCCUUGACACCCAAAGAUGUCUCAUCAAAUCCUUAAUCAGGUAUGAUUUUUUUCGGAAGAAGUUGUGAGGAAUGUUAUUGUGGACAAUUCGCUCAGAUUCGUUUAUUUAG